UCUCUCUUUUACCCACUAUUUUAUGAACCAUGUAUUUAAACACACAUCUUGUAUCAAGCAUUGUGCAAGAUCAUCAAAAAAGAUUUUAUAAGUAUUAGUAGCCCCUGUUAAGUCCCAAAUGUACAGCAGUCUCUUCUAGCAAGGCUUCAUUUCUAUCAACACUCAUCAUAUUUAACCUCAUGGUAUUCAGUGUGAAUGAUCCAGAAUGUGUGGUGGAAGACGGUCUGCUUCUGCCCAUAAUCACCAGCACUGAAGAUGUGCAGUCUCUUGAACAUGGGAUCUCACAGCGUUGGAAAUGUUCUUUUCCCCAUAAGUAAUUAUGGUCAGGGCAGUCAUGACAGUGUUCAUCAGUGAAAUGUGAGCAAAGAAAGGAGCCAGCUUCUAAGAGGACUCUGUUUUCAUGAAAGGAGAAUGAAGAGGGACAAGGGACAGCGCUAUCUGGCAGAUUUUGCCUGUUCCAUAUUCCUAAUUUUCCUGCCUAAAACAUGAACAAGUACCUUCAAGUGAACUUAUUCAUGUGAACAUGAGGUGACCAUCCUGCAAACAAAACUCAACAGAAUAAGAAUGCUGCAAACAAGAUAGGAAAGAGCUCGUACUCUUGAGGCAUCCCAGAGAAGUUUCAGCACCUCGGAGCACACAAACUACCUGAUAAUUUCUUUCUUAUACAAAUACCAAGGGUAUUUACAUGUCAGUAAAUUGUAGAAUCUGUUACUUGAAUCACUCUAAAAUCAUGAAAGGAUAUUAGAAAUUUCAGGACAUGCAUGAAAAAAUAUUAGAACAUACAUAGAGCCGUUGAGUGGUUGUGAAUCUAUGAAUGUCUGACUCAAAGAGUUAACUCCUGUACACAAGCUGUUGCUAGUACUUAAGAACAACCAGACAAACGGACCAAUAGGCCAGUUAAUGUAAGAGCAAGAAGCUGUCGGAGUUGAACAUGAAGUGAUGAUAGGAGCCGACAGAAUAAUUUAAAAUAUCAAUACUUUAAGGAGUAUGGCAUCUUUUAGGAGAGAACAUAUAAAAUGUGUAUACAUUUGCAGAUGAAACACAGCAUAAUGAUCGGACUGUUAAUGGUGAUUACAUUUUGUUAGCCUGUAAACCAAGAGGAACAUAAAGUACAGCUAAGUCUUCUUGUGCCUCCAAUUCACUCCGAAAGUACAUUUCAAAAGUUAUGGGCAUGUGGGGUUAUCAAGCAUAUGAUUAGUUAUUAGAUCUCCAAUGCUGCCUGGCUUUUUACAUAAAGCAGGUGCUUGCACUGGCAAAUUUACAUACCCUUGUCAGAGAAAAUCAAAUUUACCUUGAAGCCAUCUCCAGAGCAGAAAAGCAUCUUGCACAAGACAUUUAAAUGUAAUUAUACAAAAAUGAUAGUGAAGAUAUUAAUCAGAAACAUCUGCAUUAAAAGUGGGAACUAGAAAACAAACUUGCAAUCUGACGAUCGUCUGGUUUUAGGUUAUAAAACCCACUUAGAUUUCAGUAACUUUAGGAAAUAUUACUUUUGUCAGACAAAAUGUUAAAAUGGGCAAUUUAGCUUGCUUUUCUCAUUACAGUGAGAAUUACUAGUGGGCAAUUUCUCUGGCUACCAUAAAGUGACUACUCUUUAUAUUUCCAUUGUUUGAACUGCUAUGGAAUAUUUACACCAUUGCUUGCGUAUGUACAGGCUUGCGGAAUGCGGGAUGCUGGUUCCCAGCUAUAAAAUUCUCCUUGCAGACACUCCAAGGGGCACUGGUGCCCCAUUCCAGAAUUUCUUUAGGUGUAAAGUCGGCUUUUCAAAAUAAAUCAUUUGCACGCAAGCUGACAGCCAUAAUACCCUGAUGGAUGAGAGCAAAGACCAACUCUCCUUCCCUUGUUCCUUUCAAGUAGAAAAAUCAAUUGUAGAUGGCCUUUGUGAUCUGAUUUUUUUUGACACAUACACAAGAAAAUAACUUUCCCCUUUGCUCACUUAAAAUAGAAACUGGAAAACACAACUUCAAAAUACUUUUCCAAUUUCCCAAGCUCAAGCACAUUUUUUUGUGCUUUCCACAACUCUCAGUCAGCUUUUUGAAGAGGGAGACACUUCCAGUUCACUAAGACACUAUGCAGUAGGAACAUGAUCUUUUACAAUUUGUCGUGGAAGAAUACAUGCUACUUAGAUUGUAUACUUUGACUUUUGCAUGUAAAUGUUUUCCUUCAGAUUCUCACAGAAAUAAACUGAUUUCCUUCUUCGGGAACUAAAUUCCCAAGCCGUAAUUUAUACACAGGGGGCUGAGUCUGUUACUAGAUUGCUUCCUUUUGGAACACUGUGAGGAAAUUCUUUCUGGGAUUAAUUCCAUUGAAUAUGGGAUUUGGGGGGGGGGGGUUGUUUUUGUGAUUGUUGGGUUUGGUUUGAUAUUUUUAACAUUAUUGUUAUCAUUAACUUGCCUCAGUUUGGCUGAAAAUUCUGAUUAAGGGGCACAUUGCUAUGUCAUAAAAAUUAACUCAAACCUAAAUUACGAUAAAAACAGGUGGCCUGACUUCCACAUAUUGCUGUGAGUGAAAACGAAACCUAAGGCCAGAAAGAAAAUUGAGCAAAUGUGGAUGUAAAUUCUCUCAAACAUAUUCUUUGGGUCUGCAGAGACAAUUACAGAGAGGCAGAAAAAUCUCCUGUGGUCUGAAUGAUCUGUGCAGACCAAUGGAAUACAGCUCUACUCUACUUUGCCGACAAAAUGGCACUCUGACAUAAACACAUAUGUUUGAAAAUUUUCUGUUGUGUACGAUAAAGAUCAAAUACAUUUCAAAGCAAGAAAGUGACAUGAAUUACAAAUGUCUAUCUUACAUUUCCGUGAUGAUUGUUUCCUUCGUUUACAUUUUUUAUGCAGCUUGCUCUACAUUAGGUAUUUUAAAACCUGUAUUUUAAAUCACACACUAAGGAGAAUGUGGUCCUAGAAUGUGGUUUUGUGUGUUUGCCUGCAUCCCCAUGUUUGAUGGGGUGAUAAGUGCCGUUGGAAUGUCAGGACUGGAAGUGUUGUUCAACUGACAGUCAGGAUCCUAAAGAAGUUCACGAACAUAAAAAUUACUGAAUGUGUAAAAUUUAAUGUGAUGCUUCACAACUUCCAUUCUAAAUGAUAACUUUGACU